CCAGAGCAGAAGCUGAGUUGGUGUUAUAGUGCCCAGAAUCCAUAUAUUUAAUUCUCGUAGACGUGCCUCACCUCAGCCUCUGUGGGGAUGCGUCCCAGCAACCCAGCUGAUUGGCUGGGCAGCGGAGCGGAGGAACACACCUGACUGGCUGAGGCGCGUCUCAGUGGUGGAGGACAGAGGCGGCGGGGGGCCUGGCCGGGCCAUGGAGGCCAGGGCGGUGGCAGGCUCGGGCCGGCUGCGGAGGCCGGCAGCGGCAGGCCCGGCCUGAAUGCGGAGGCCGGCAGCGGCAGGCCCAGGCUAGCCGCGGAGGCCGGCGGCGGCGGGCCCAGCCCGAACGCGGAGGCCGGCGGCAGGCCCGGCCCAAACGUGAAGGCCGCUGCCGGCGGGCCCGGCCCAAACGUGGAGGCCGGCGGCGGUGGGCCCGGCCCAAACGCGGAGGCCGGCGACGGCGGGCCCGGGUUAGCCGCGGAGGCCGGCGGUGGCGGACAGAGGCGGUGGCGGACCCACCUGACUGUGGGGGCAAGGGGCAGGAGGGAAAGACAGUGGGGGAGGGGAGAAGUGACGGUGGGGAGGAGACGCAGCUGGGCCCAGAAGCAGAGACUGGGGCAGAAGAUGUGUGUGUGUGUGUUUGGGUGGGGGGAGAUGUAACUGCCAGCCCCAAAGAACACACAGAUGCUCUGUGCGGGUCGGCUAGUUGCAUUCUAAUUCAUCAUAUUGGUUUGCUGGGGAGGUUGUUUCUGGAUCCGGAACCCAGCUGGCAGUAAAAACAGCCAUCUGCUCGCAGUGACGUCAGCACUCAUGUGAUUUCGGUGACAUAACCCCCAAACAACAUGGUUUUAUUUGUAAAGCAGAAUUCCUACUAACAAAUAAUAAAAAUGGUUUCCAGUUCCAAACAUUUUCCAUUGCAAAGGUUCAGAAGGAAUUUCAAAUAAUUAAAAACAGAAGAAAUUGAACAGUAAUUGGAAGAACCAUGGAAGAAACACGAGGCAGAACUUGUCCUCAGGAAAUUGAAAGUGGUAUGACAGGAGCUUCGUUGCACACUCUUCAUUUCUGGUCAAACAGUUUUGCAAAUUUUUAUAGUACUAAUGCAGACUGACCAGCGAGACAAAAGAAAUGAGUAUAUACACCAUGGUCAAAGAGGACACUGAUGGUGAAACUAUCAGCUCUCUUUAAAAGCAUGUCUGUUUGCAGCCUUAGACACCUAUUGCCUAGUACUAUUAAGAUGUAUCUUAUCUUUGGGCAUGGGGGCAGCCUGUUGAUGGUUGCCUGUUCUAUUAAAAUACCUGGCCUCUCAGCAAAGCUCCCUUACAGAGGCUAGUGACUGAGACGACAUUUUAAGAGCAUUGAA